GGGGAAUAUUGGGCAAUGGGCGCAAGCCUGACCCAGCAACGCCGCGUGAAGGAAGAAGGCUUUCGGGUUGUAAACUUCUUUGACAGGGGACGAAACAAAUGACGGUACCCUGAAAACAAGCCACGGCUAACUACGUGCCAGCAGCCGCGGUAAUACGUAGGUGGCAAGCGUUGUCCGGAUUUACUGGGUGUAAAGGGCGCGUAGGCGGGAUGGCAAGUCAGAUGUGAAAAUUAUGGGCUCAACCCAUAACCUGCAUUUGAAACUGCUGUUCUUGAGUAUCGGAGAGGCAGGCGGAAUUCCUAGUGUAGCGGUGAAAUGCGUAGAUAUUAGGAGGAACACCAGUGGCGAAGGCGGCCUGCUGGACGACAACUGACGCUGAUGCGCGAAAGCGUGGGGAGCAAAC
rnacentral:rRNA from 1 species